CUAAAGCAGAUAAGGUUUUUGGAAUUCCUUUUGUGCUUUCUCUUUGUCAAAAAAGACUUCUGUUCUGUUCGGUAUUUGCAGGGAAAAAAAAAGAUAAUGUGUUUGGUAUUUUUGUUUCCGUUAUAAAUUUUUUUAAGGAAAGGGAGAUGAAGAAAAAUAAGAAAAGGGGGAAGAAAAAUGCUGCAACUAUGGGUAAUUUAUCCCGACUUUACCCUACUUUUUAAACCAUGGUAUGAGAUAGGCUGGUCUCCCAAUAUUUCCUUAAUCAAAGGGAGGAAAACCCUAAUUUUGUCUCUCCCAAGAGAUGAAAGGAAGGGAAAAAUGGUGUUUUACUUCAAAGCCCGGGCAGAAGCUAGCGAUUACAAUAUGGCUUCAUCGAAGAUAUCUAUUCAUUGGCAGGGAAGAGGAAAACAAAGUUCUAUAAAUACUGGAGCAAUGCAAUUUAGCUUUGCCAGUAUCAUCUAUAUCUUACAUCCCCCAACUGUCGAAGCUCACUGAAUUGAUAUGCACACAAGAUUGGUUGCAGAUGCAAUCAGAUGAUCCUAGUCCAUCGUCAAGCAUUUAUGCUAUACCCAUUCCUAUGGCUCUGAAGAACACUGUUUCUAUGUUGUGGAUUUCAUUAGUGUCCUUAUUUUGAAGGCUAUUUCAUGCAAGG